rnacentral:rRNA from 1 species
CAACAGGGAUUCCCCUAGUAACGGCGAGUGAAGCGGGAACAGCUCAAAUUUGAAAUCUGGCCCUCGGGUCCGAGUUGUAAUUUGUAGAGGAUGCUUUUGGUGCGGUGCCUUCCGAGUUCCCUGGAACGGGACGCCUUAGAGGGUGAGAGCCCCGUACGGUUGGACGCCUAGCCUCUGUAAAGCUCCUUCGACGAGUCGAGUAGUUUGGGAAUGCUGCUCUAAAUGGGAGGUAUAUUUCUUCUAAAGCUAAAUACUGGCCAGAGACCGAUAGCGCACAAGUAGAGUGAUCGAAAGAUGAAAAGCACUUUGAAAAGAGGGUUAAAUAGCACGUGAAAUUGUUGAAAGGGAAGCGUUUAUCACCAGACUUUUUCUAGGGGGAUCAUCCGGUGUUCUCACCGGUGCACUUCCCCUAGUUGAGGCCAGCAUCGGUUUUCGGAGGGGGAUAAAAGCUUCGGGAAUGUGACUCCCUCGGGAGUGUUAUAGCCCGUUGCAUAAUACCCUUCUGGGGACCGAGGUUCGCGCAUCUGCAAGGAUGCUGGCAUAAUGGUGAUCAACGACCCGUCUUGAAACACGGACCAAGGAGUCGAACAUUUAUGCGAGUGUUUGGGUGUCAAACCCUCACGCGUAAUGAAAGUGAACGGAGGUGAGAGCCCUUACGGGUGCAUCAUCGACCGAUCCUGAUGUCUUCGGAUGGAUUUGAGUAAGAGCAUAACUGUUCGGACCCGAAAGAUGGUGAACUAUGCGUGGAUAGGGUGAAGCCAGGAGAAAUCCUGGUGGAGGCUCGCAGCGGUUCUGACGUGCAAAUCGAUCGUCAAAUCUGCGCAUGGGGGCGAAAGACUAAUCGAACCAUCUAG